rnacentral:rRNA from 1 species
GAUGAACGCUGGCGGCGUGCUUAACACAUGCAAGUCGAACGGAAAGGCCCAAGCUUGCUUGGGUACUCGAGUGGCGAACGGGUGAGUAACACGUGGGUGAUCUGCCCUGCACUUCGGGAUAAGCCUGGGAAACUGGGUCUAAUACCGGAUAGGACGAUGGUUUGGAUGCCAUUGUGGAAAGUUUUUUCGGUGUGGGAUGAGCUCGCGGCCUAUCAGCUUGUUUGUGGGGUAAUGGCCUACCAAGGCGUCGACGGGUAGCCGGCCUGAGAGGGUGUACGGCCACAUUGGGACUGAGAUACGGCCCAGACUCCUACGGGGGGCAGCAGGGGGGAAUAUUGUACAAUGGGCGCAAGCCUGAGGCAGCGACGCCGCGUGGGGGAUGACGGCCUUCGGGUUGUAAACUCCUUUCGCUAGGGACGAAGCGUUUUUGUGACGGUACCUGGAGAAGAAGCACCGGCUAACUACGUG